UACGUAGGGGGCUAGCGUUAUCCGGAAUUACUGGGCGUAAAGGGUGCGUAGGCGGUCUUUCAAGCCAGAAGUGAAAGGCUACGGCUCAACCGUAGUAAGCUUUUGGAACUGUAAGACUUGAGUGCAGGAGAGGAGAGUGGAAUUCCUAGUGUAGCGGUGAAAUGCGUAGAUAUUAGGAGGAACACCAGUAGCGAAGGCGGCUCUCGUGGACUGUAACUGACGCUGAGGCACGAAAGCGUGGGGAGCAAACAGG
rnacentral:rRNA from 1 species